UACGUAGGGGGCGAACGUUGUCCGGAUUUAUUGGGCGUAAAGAGCUCGUAGGCGGCUCAGCAAGUCGGCCGUGAAAGUCCGGGGCUCAACCCCGGGAUGCCGGUCGAUACUGCUGUGGCUAGGGUCCGGUAGAGGAGAGUGGAAUUCCCGGUGUAGCGGUGAAAUGCGCAGAUAUCGGGAGGAACACCAGUAGCGAAGGCGGCUCUCUGGGCCGGUACCGACGCUGAGGAGCGAAAGCUAGGGGAGCGAACGGG
rnacentral:rRNA from 1 species